UGAAGUUGGAAUCGCUAGUAAUCGCGGAUCAGCAUGCCGCGGUGAAUACGUUCCCGGGCCUUGUACACACCGCCCGUCACACCAUGAGAGUCGGGAACACCCGAAGUCCGUAGCCUAACUGCAAAGGGGGCGCGGCCGAAGGUGGGUUCGAUAAUUGGGGUGAAGUCGUAACAAGGUAUC
rnacentral:rRNA from 1 species